AAUGAACGCUGGCGGCGUGCCUAACACAUGCAAGUCGUACGAGAAAACUCCCUUCGGGGAGCAAGUACAGUGGCGAACGGGUGAGUAACGCGUGGGUAACGUACCCUUCGGUGGGGGAUAACCCAGGGAAACUUGGGCUAAUACCGCACUCGCUUCGAGGUGCCAAGUGCCUCGAAGGAAAGAUUGCCUCUUCUAUGCAAUCGCCGAAGGAGCGGCCCGCGUCCCAUUAGCUAGUUGGUGGGGUAAUGGCCUACCAAGGCGACGAUGGGUAGCCGGCCUGAGAGGGUGAUCGGCCACACUGGGACUGAGACACGGCCCAGACUCCUACGGGAGGCUGCAGUGGGGAAUUUUGCGCAAUGAGCGAAAGCUUGACGCAGCGACGCCGCGUGCAGGAUGAAGGCCUUCGGGUCGUAAACUGUUGUCGCGAGGGAUGAACAUCCGUGGGAUGAAUAAGCCCACGGCCUGACGGUACCUCGUGAGAAAGCCCCGGCUAACUCCGUG
rnacentral:rRNA from 1 species